rnacentral:rRNA from 1 species
GACAGAGGAUGCAAGCGUUAUCCGGAAUGGUUGGGCGUAAAGCGUCUGUAGGUGGCUUUUUAAGUCUGCCGUCAAAUCCCAGGGCUUAACCCUGGACAGGCGGUGGAAACUACCAAGCUGGAGUACGGUAGGGGCAGGGGGAAUUUCCGGUGGAGCGGUGAAAUGCGUAGAUAUCAGGAGGAACACCUGUGGUGUAGACAGCUUACUGGACCAUUUCUGACGCUGAGACACGAAAGCGUGGGUAGCAAACAGG